rnacentral:lncRNA from 1 species
UCAGCUGUCAGCUGUCUGCAUGCAGCACUGGCAUCAUCUAGCGGUUGUUUUUACAAUUCAGACGAUUGUCCAGUUUGCCGCUAGAUGGUGUUUGUAUUGUUUUUAAAAUGGCGAAAUGUGUGAACGAGUUAUGUCAUCUUUUGUAUUCGAAUUUUCAUGUUUUUCUGCCCAAAACCAACCAAUUAUUUACAUAAAAUCUACCUGCUGUCUAGUCAUCAGAUUAAAUUUGGACCCCAUUUUAAGAACAAAUUGCUCAACACUUCUGUGACUCACACCCCCAGCUUCAUCUGCAUCAUUCUCUCACAUUUUAGACAAAACUUCAAGCUGUUUUGCCCAAAAGUUGUGGCAUAGGAUGUAUGGUUACGAGUUCAUUCUUGCCUGAACAAUGUUUACACCUUUAAACCCUUUUGAUGGGGAUGUUGCGUCAUGAAAUUCUAUUGCUGCCAUUCCCUUCAUCUCCCACUCCCAUCUCACAGCUACAAGAAAUGAGUAAUAGGAAGUCUACAAUAGAUUGAGGUUGUGUGAUAUGCUAUUGCAAUUUCAUACAUUUUUAAAUGGUUUGGAAUCCUGGAAGUAUGCUGACUACUAGCUCCGUUCAACAUUUGGUCUUGUAGCAGUUGCAUUUGCCAUACUUCUCCGCCAGCCGUUUUUUAGUGGAGAGUCGGAGAGGUUGAUCCAAAAUCCUUUACACUAUUCGUUACAUCUCUGAGAUCGCGAUUCGGCCGCCGAUGUCGAUGUUCAACGCAGUUUCUUAUUGGAAUUGUGUGGUCCUGGCAAGGAGAUCCUUAAGCCAACGCUGGCUUUUGUCCAUGACAGAAGAGGGACUUCCACCAACGUUCUGCUCCAUCCUUAUCUUCACGACGUACGCUCAUCUGGCUUCUCUUGCUUCUUAUGCUGCCACUCAACUUGUCCUACUUCACCGAUGACUUAGGCCACUUCAGUGGUCGCAUCCGUCUGUCGAGACACACCUGUAGUAACUUUCCACGGAUGAUGCCCAGUUAAUGCAGAGGAGACGUCGAGAAGAUUGACACCAAAACGUCGCCAGUAUAUCCAACAUGUCGCAGCGGAUUUGUUGUUGGUAAUGUGUAAUGUGUUUGUGUUAGUUAACCCGUUGGCUGCCACGCCUUUGUUCUCCCCUAGCUCCUUAGCACGGG